rfam:Hahella chejuensis KCTC 2396, complete genome.
GGGUCGUUAGCUCAGUCGGUAGAGCAGUUGGCUUUUAACCAAUUGGUCGAUGGUUCGAAUCCAUCACGACCCA